rnacentral:rRNA from 1 species
UGGGCAACCUGCCCUCAGCUCUGGGAUUACUCCAAGAAAUUGGGGCUAAUACCGGAUAUGACCGCUGACCGCAUGGUCUGGUGGUGGAAAGAUUUAUCGGCUGGGGAUGGGCCCGCGGCCUAUCAGCUUGUUGGUGGGGUAGUGGCCUACCAAGGCGACGACGGGUAGCCGGCCUGAGAGGGCGACCGGCCACACUGGGACUGAGACACGGCCCAGACUCCUACGGGAG